UUGGAGGGCAAGUCUGGUGCCAGCAGCCGCGGUAAUUCCAGCUCCAAUAGCGUAUAUUAAAGUUGUUGCAGUUAAAAAGCUCGUAGUUGAAUUUCGGGAUCAAUAUGUUGGUCGUGCCCUUGGUACGUACUAGCUUAUUGAUUUCUCCCUUCUGACGAACCAUGAUGUCAUUAAUUUGGUGUCAUGGGGAAUCAGGACUGUUACUUUGAAAAAAUUAGAGUGUUUAAAGCAGGCUUACGCUUGAAUACAUUAGCAUGGAAUAAUGAAAUAGGACGUUUUGAUUCUAUUUUGUUGGUUUCUAGGAUCGACGUAAUGAUUAAUAGGGAUAGUUGGGGGCAUUAGUAUUCAAUUGUCAGAGGUGAAAUUCUUGGAUUUAUUGAAGACUAACUACUGCGAAAGCAUUUGCCAAGGAUGUUUUCAUUAAUCAAGAACGAAAGUUAGGGGAUCGAAGACGAUCAGAUACCGUCGUAGUCUUAACCAUAAACUAUGCCGACUAGGGAUCGGAUGAUGUUAAUUUUUUAAUGACUCAUUCGGCGCCUUACGGGAAAC
rnacentral:rRNA from 1 species